rnacentral:rRNA from 1 species
AUUGAACGCUGGCGGCAGGCCUAACACAUGCAAGUCGAGCGGAGCGGCGGACGGGUGAGUAAUGGCUAGGAAUCUGCCUGGGAGUGGGGGAGAACGUCCGGAAACGGGCGCUAAUACCGCAUACUAGCAGCGGAGCCUAGGUCGGAUUAGCUAGUUGGUGGGGUAACGGCCUACCAAGGCGACGAGCCGUAACUGGUCUGAGAGGAUGAUCAGUCACCAUGGGAAUGAGACACGGUCCAGACUCCUACGGGAGGCAGCAGGGGGGAAUAUUGGACAAUGGGCGAAAGCCUGAUCCAGCCAUGCCGCGUGUGUGAAGAAGGCCUUCGGAUUGUAAAGCACUUUAAGUUGGGAGGCGUUACCAACAGAAUAAGCACCGGCUAACUUCGUGCCAGCAGCCGCGGUAAUUC